CCAUGCUCUCUUCAUCAUACCUACUACUUGAUGCCUUUCUCCCCAUGGUUUCCCUUGCAUUCUCAUUCUUGCGGCUGUCUCUUUGUUUCUUUCUCAUUUCUUUCUCCAUUUUUUUCCUAGUAUUCCUUGUCAGUUGGCUGAGCAGGUCAUCUGAUAGUGGUGUAAAUGGAGAAGAGGCCAUCUUAGCUCUUGCAACAUCUUCGUCUUCCUUUUGCUGCUUUAGAAGAGCUUCAUAAGCCUUGAUGAUAGACCAAUAAGCUGUUCCUGCAGGGUUUAUGUAAACAGCAUCUAGAUAGUCUCUGUUCCUCCUGGGCCUGUAAUCGAUUGUCCAGCCAG
rnacentral:lncRNA from 1 species